UACGGGGGGUGCGAGCGUUAAUCGGAAUAACUGGGCGUAAAGGGCACGCAGGCGGACUUUUAAGUGAGGUGUGAAAUCCCCGGGCUUAACCUGGGAAUUGCAUGUCAUACUGGGAGUCUUGAGGACUUUAGGGAGGGGUAGAAUUCCACGUGUAGCGGUGAAAAGCGUAGAGAUGUGGAGGAAUACCGAAGGCGAAGGCAGCCCCGUGGGAAGGUACUGACGCUCAUGUGCGAAAGCGUGGGGAGCAAACAGG
rnacentral:rRNA from 1 species